GACGAACGCUGGCGGCGUGCUUAACACAUGCAAGUCAAGGAGAAAGUUCCUUUCGGGGAGCGAUUAAACUGGCGCACGGGUGAGUAAUAUAUAAGCAAUCUACCUAUGGGUUCGGAAUAACGUCGAGAAAUCGGCGCUAAUACCGUAUAAUGCAGCGGCAUCGCAUGGUGAUGUUGUUAAAGUUUAAUUAACGCCUAUAGAUGAGCUUGUAUCUGAUUAGCUAGUUGGUGAGGUAACGGCCCACCAAGGCUACGAUCAGUAGCUGGUCUGAGAGGAUGAUCAGCCACAUUGGAACUGAGACACGGUCCAGACUCCUACGGGAGGCAGCAGUGAGGAAUAUUGGGCAAUGGGCGAAAGCCUGACCCAGCAACGCCGCGUGAAGGAUGAAUGUCGUAAGAUUGUAAACUUCUUUUUGUAGGAGACGAAAAAACGAA
rnacentral:rRNA from 1 species